GCGCAUAGUGGAUGCCUUGGCACAUCAUGCUGAUGAAGGACGUGAGAGGCCGCGAUAGUCCUCGGGGAGUUGUCUACUGAGCGUUGAUCCGAGGGUGUCCGAAUGGGGAAACCCGGCACCUGUCUGUUGGUGGGUGUCACCGUGUUGCUGAAUGUAUAGGCUUCGCGGGGGUGGAACGGGGAAGUGAAACAUCUCAGUACCUGUUUUUUGAGAAAACGAAUGUGAUUCCGUGUGUAGUGGCGAGCGAUAGCGGAUGAUGGCUAAACCUGGUGUGUGGAUAACUCGGUAGGGGUUGCAUGCUGGGGGUUGUGGGGCAUCGUUGUUCCUGGUCUACCGGCUGGGGUUGUGGGUUGUGUGUGUGAGUUGAACUGGUUUGGGAUGGCCGACCGGAGUGGGUGAGAGUCCCGUAGGCGAAUACACGCAUGAUGCGCAAUGAUGGUGUUCCCGAGUAGCAGCGGGCUCGUGGAAUCUGCUGUGAAUCUGCCGGGACCGCCUGGUAAGCCUGAAUGACAUGGUGUGACCGAUAGUGGAUAGUACCGUGAGGGAAUGGUGAAAAGUACCCCGGGAGGGGAGUGAAAUAGUACCUGAAACCGUGCGCUUACAAUCCGUCAGAGCCUUCGAACACUUCGGUGUUGGGGGUGAUGGCGUGCCUUUUGAAGAAUGAGCCUGCGAGUUAGUGGCAUGUCGCGAGGUUAACCCGUGUGGGGUAGCCGUAGCGAAAGCGAGUCCGAAUAGGGCGAGUCAGUGGCAUGUUCUAGACCCGAAGCGGAGUGAUCUACCCAUGGCCAGGGUGAAGCGACGGUAAGACGUCGUGGAGGCCCGAACCCACUUAGGUUAAAAACUGAGGGGAUGAGUUGUGGGUAGGGGUGAAAGGCCAAUCAAACUCCGUGAUAGCUGGUUCUCCCCGAAAUGCAUUUAGGUGCAGCGUCGCGUGUUUCUCACCGGAGGUAGAGCUACUGGAUGGUCUAGGGGGCCCACAAGCUUACCGAAAUCAGCCAAACUCCGAAUGCCGGUGAGUGAGAGCGCGGCAGUGAGACUGCGGGGGAUAAGCUUCGUAGUCGAGAGGGAAACAGCCCAGAUCGCCGGCUAAGGCCCCUAAGCGUGUACUAAGUGGAAAAGGAUGUGGGAUCGCUGAGACAACCAGGAGGUUGGCUUAGAAGCAGCCACCCUUGAAAGAGUGCGUAAUAGCUCACUGGUCAAGUGGUCCUGCGCCGACAAUGUAGCGGGGCUCAAGUACACCGCCGAAGCCGCGGCAUUCACAUAACACCCCGGAAGGGUUACGGCUUUUCCGGCAGUGGUGUGGAUGGGUAGGGGAGCGUCGUGUGGCCGUAGAAGCGCCGGAGUGAUCCAGGUGUGGAGGCCACGCGAGUGAGAAUGCAGGCAUGAGUAGCGAAAGACGAGUGAGAAACUCGUCCGCCGGAUGACCAAGGGUUCCUGGGCCAGGUUAAUCCGCCCAGGGUGAGUCGGGACCUAAGGCGAGGCCGACAGGCGUAGUCGAUGGACAACGGGUUGAUAUUCCCGUACCCGUGUAUCCGCGCCCAAUGGCGAAUCAGUUGUGCUAACCGUCCAAAAGUCUCCGGUGUUCCUUCGGGAACUGUGGGGAUGGCUGCACGGGACCCUGAUUGUAGUAGUCAAGCGAUGGGGUGACGCAGGAAGGUAGCUGGGCCAGGUGAUGGAAUACCUGGUGUAAGCCGGUAGGGCGAAUGGUAGGCAAAUCCGCCAUUCAUCAAGCCUGAGAGGUGAUGCGUACCCGUUGAGGGGAAUUCAGUGAUCCUAUGCUGCCGAGAAAAGCCUCUAGUGAGUUGGUACACGGCCCGUACCCCAAACCGACACAGGUGGUCAGGUAGAGAAUACCAAGGCGCUUGAGAGAACUCGGGUGAAGGAACUAGGCAAAAUGGUGCCGUAACUUCGGGAGAAGGCACGCUGAUAUGUAGGUGAGGUCCCUCGCGGAUGGAGCUGAAAUCAGUCGAAGAUACCAGCUGGCUGCAACUGUUUAUUAAAAACACAGCACUGUGCAAACACGAAAGUGGACGUAUACGGUGUGACGCCUGCCCGGUGCCGGAAGGUUAAUUGAUGGGGUUAGCGCAAGCGAAGCUCUUGAUCGAAGCCCCGGUAAACGGCGGCCGUAACAAUAACGGUCCUAAGGUAGCGAAAUUCCUUGUCGGGUAAGUUCCGACCUGCACGAAUGGCGU
rnacentral:rRNA from 1 species